rnacentral:rRNA from 1 species
UGAUGGCGACGUAAAAGCUCGCCAGAGUACCAAUUGGAGGGCAAGUCUGGUGCCAGCAGCCGCGGUAAUUCCAGCUCCAAUAGCGUAUAUUAAACUUGUUGCAGUUAAAAAGCUCGUAGUUGAACUUCAGCCAUUGGUGUCAUCGCGCGUGUCGCUUUGWSUCCGUUGGCUUAUCUUUUUACUUUGAGAAAAUUAGAGUGUUUCAAGCAGACUUUUGUCUUGAAUACUUCAGCAUGGAAUAAUAGAGUAGGACCUUGGUUCUAUUUUGUUGGUUUCUGAACCUGGGUAAUGGUUAAUAGGAACGGUUGGGGGCAUUCGUAUUUAACUGUCAGAGGUGAAAUUCUUAGAUUUGUUAAAGACGAACUACUGCGAAAGCAUUUGCCAAGGACGUUUUCAUUAAUCAAGAACGAAAGUUAGGGGAUCGAAGACGAUCAGAUACCGUCGUAGUCC